rnacentral:rRNA from 1 species
UACGUAGGGCGCAAGCGUUAUCCGGAAUUAUUGGGCGUAAAGAGCUCGUAGGCGGUUUUUCGCGUCUGCCGUGAAAGUCCGGGGCUCAACUCCGGAUCUGCGGUGGGUACGGGCAGACUAGAGUGAUGUAGGGGAGACUGGAAUUCCUGGUGUAGCGGUGAAAUGCGCAGAUAUCAAGAGGAACACCUGCGGCGAAGGCGGGUUGCUGGGCCGACACUGACGCUGAGGCGCGAAAGCUAGGGGAGCGAACGGG